CCUACGGGAGGCUGCAGUGAGGAAUAUUGGUCAAUGGACGAAAGUCUGAACCAGCCAAGUAGCGUGAAGGAUGACUGCCCUAUGGGUUGUAAACUUCUUUUAUAUGGGAGUAAAAUGUUCCACGUGUGUGAUUUUGUAUGUACCAUAUGAAUAAGGAUCGGCUAACUCCGUGCCAGCAGCCGCGGUAAUACGGAGGAUCCGAGCGUUAUCCGGAUUUAUUGGGUUUAAAGGGAGCGUAGGCGGAUUGUUAAGUCAGUUGUGAAAGUUUGCGGCUCAACCGUAAAAUUGCAGUUGAAACUGGCAGUCUUGAGUACAGUAGAGGUAGGCGGAAUUCGUGGUGUAGCGGUGAAAUGCUUAGAUAUCACGAAGAACUCCGAUUGCGAAGGCAGUUCACUGGACUGCAACUGACACUGAGGCUCGAAAGUGUGGGGAUCAAACAGGAUUAGAUACCCGGGUAGUC
rnacentral:rRNA from 1 species